AGCUCCAAUAGCGUAUAUUAAAGUUGCUGCAGUUAAAAAGCUCGUAGUUGCAUUUCCGAGGCAAGGGAUUAGUCCGACCUUUGGUGGGUAUUUAAUCCUCUUGCCUCGUCCUUGAGUGGUGCUUCUUGGUAUUAAGUUAUCGAGGAGAUAGCCGCUCAUCGUUUACUGUGAGAAAAUUAGAGUGUUCAAAGCAGGCUUAUGCCGUUGAAUAUAUUAGCAUGGAAUAAUAAGAUAGGACCUCGGUACUAUUUUGUUGGUUUGAGAACCAAGGUAAUGAUGAAUAGGGACAGUUGGGGGUAUUCGUAUUCAGUUGUCAGAGGUGAAAUUCUUAGAUCGUGGGAAGACGAACUUCUGCGAAAGCAUUCGACAAGAAUGUCUUCA
rnacentral:rRNA from 1 species